AUAACAAUAAUGGUUAUAAUAACAAUAAUGGUUAUAAUAACAAUAAUGGUUAUAAUAACAAUAAUGGUUAUAAUAACAAUAUUGGUUAUAAUAACAAUAAUGGUUAUAAUAACAAUAAUGGUUAUAAUAACAAUAAUGGUUAUAAUAACAAUAUUGGUUAUAAUAAUAAUGGUAACAAUUUUGAAAUUACUAGAACACGGUUAAUUACAAAAACAGGUAGUACCGACGAUAAACUAAAAGUAAUAAACAAUAAUGUUAUAAUGCAAAAAAAACAUAAGAAGUUAGAUAAAAGCGAUGAUAUGGCUAUAAAAAAAAAAAAUAACAAAGAAACUAAGAAUGAAACUUAUUCUAUUCGAAAGUUGACGUCUUUAGUUGAUUCGAUAAAAAUAAAAAGGUAUAACACUCUAAAAGAUGAACAAGGGUUAAAAGCACAAAUAGAUAGAUUUCUUUUUAAUGAAAAUUUGAAAAAUAUAACAAAGAUUUCAUAUAAAAAAAAAUCUAAAUCUUUUAGUUCCUUUACUAAUAUAAAAAUAAAUAAUAAAAACGAAUUUAAAACCAAAAAUUGUAAUAUCAUUCUUCCAAAUUUUAAAAAAGAUGUACAAACAAGCAAUAUAGAGUUUAAUACUAGUGAAAAUAGUUGGAUAAAUAAAAGUAAUGAUAACAUAGACAACGACCGCAAUUGGUGCAAUAAAGAAAUUUCAUUUAUAAACAGUUUAUCUUCAAAUAAUUCAUAUAUUAAAAAAAUUAAAAGUAUAAAGAAAAAAAAUACUUAUAGUAUGAGUAAUUCAACUAUUUUACUUGAACAUGCUGAUGAGAAUAUUAAUUAUGGUGAAAAUGAUAGUAGUCGGGGGAAGACAAACUUGGAAAAAAAAAAAUCAAAGAAAGAACUUGAAAAAAAACAAUUAAGUAAACAACUAUCUAAAAUUAGCAACAUUUCCAAAUUAAAUAAAAAAGAAGAUGAAAUUGAAGAAGCAUGUGAGUAUAAACAAGAUAUGUCUGAUGCUAGUAAUAAGUUAAUAACUCAAAACGAUGAUAUGACAAAUGAGCAAAUAAGAAAAAUAGGAAAAUCCACAGAACUUGAAGGUUUAAAAUUUUCUGGAUAUAUACACAUGGUAUUAUCAACAACAAAUAUAAUAACAAAAAAGUGUAUUGUAUUGUAUAACAGUGAAACAAACGAAUUAGAGAUAAUAAAAAACAAUAAAAUAUUUGGAAUAAGCAUUGACAGUUUAAAAGCUCAAGAGUUACCUACUAAAAAAAAAGGCACGGGAAUUAUCAGAUUGGUUGUUUCAGAAGAACAAACAAAAGAAUUACUAAUUGAGUCUAACGAUUUAAAAGCCUUACAAUGUUUGGGAAAUGGGCUUAUAUGGAUACAUGACGAAAAAAGUAUUAUAAAUAAAACGAUAUAAAAAAAAAAAAAAAAAUAAUAAAAAAAAAAAAAAAAAAAAAAGCA
rnacentral:lncRNA from 1 species